rnacentral:ncRNA from 1 species
GCAGAGUAGGGGUAUCAGCGUAAGGAACUGUUUCUGACAGUUCUGCAGUGCCGGCAGGACAGGGAGUUGGCUGCCGGACGAAAACGGACGCAGGCGCAAAGCGCCGCGGACCUGCAUGUUUGGUAUUCCGCAUCCCGCUGC